UUAUUAUUCGAUGAUAACUGUCACGUGUCAUGUUCUAAUUGGUCGAUGAGAAUAACAAUGCAUUUUAUCUUUCAUGGAAUUGACAUCCAAUAAAAGGACAUGUGGCAGUCAUCAUCCAAUAAGAACGUGACAAGUGACAGUCAACAUCA
rnacentral:pre_miRNA from 1 species